rnacentral:rRNA from 1 species
GACGAACGCUGGCGGCGUGCUUAACACAUGCAAGUCGAACGAAGUGGCGAACGGGUGAGUAACGCGUAAUCAACCUGCCCUUCAGAGGGGGACAACAGUUGGAAACGACUGCUAAUACCGCAUACUGAAGGCGGGGAUUGCGUCUGAGUAGCUAGUGGGAGGGGUAACGGCCCACCAAGGAGAGGCACGGUAGUCGGUCUGUGAGUGUGAACGGCCACAUUGGGACUGAGACACGGCCCAGACUCCUACGGGAGGCAGCCGUGGGGAAUCUUCCGCAAUGGACGAAAGUCUGACGGAGCAACGCCGCGUGAGGGAGGACGGCCUUCGGGUUGUAAAGCUCUGUUAAUCGGGACGCGGUACCGGAAUAGAAAGCCACGGCUAACUACGUGCCAGCAGCCGCGGUAAUUC